rnacentral:rRNA from 1 species
UACGGGGGGAGCAAGCGUUGUUCGGAUUUACUGGGCGUAAAGGGCGCGUAGGCGGCCUCUGCAAGUCGACUGUGAAAUCUCCGGGCUUAACCCGGAAAGGUCAGCCGAUACUGCGGGGCUAGAGUGCAGAAGGGGCAACUGGAAUUCUUGGUGUAGCGGUGGAAUGCGUAGAGAUCUGCAAGAAUACCCGUGGCGAAGGCGGCCAACUGGGCCGGUUCUGACGCUGAGGCGCGAAAGCGUGGGGAGCAAACAGG